AAGGAUCAUUAAUGAAUUCACUAUGGAGUUGUUGCUGGCCUCUAGGGGCAUGUGCACGCUUCACUAGUCUUUCAACCACCUGUGAACUUUUGAUAGAUCUGUGAAGUCGUCCUUCAAGUCGUCAGACUUGGUUUGCUGGGAUUUAAACGUCUCGGUGUGACAACGCAGUCUAUUUACUUAACACACCCCAAAUGUAUGUCUACGAAUGUCAUUUAAUGGGCCUUGUGCCUAUAAACCAUAAUACAACUUUCAACAACGGAUCUCUUGGCUCUCGCAUCGAUGAAGAACGCAGCGAAAUGCGAUAAGUAAUGUGAAUUGCAGAAUUCAGUGAAUCAUCGAAUCUUUGAACGCACCUUGCGCCCCUUGGUAUUCCGAGGGGCAUGCCUGUUUGAGUGUCAUUAAAUUCUCAAACUCACAUUUAUUUGUGAUGUUUGGAUUGGUUGGGGGGUUGCUGGCUGUAACAAGUCGGCUCCUCUUAAAUGCAUUAGCAGGACUUCUCAUUGCCUCUGCGCAUGAUGUGAUAAUUAUCACUCAUCAAUAGCACGCAUGAAUAGAGUCCAGCUCUCUAAUCGUCCGCAAGGACAAUUUGACAAUUUGACCUCAAAUCAGGUAGGACUACCCGCUGAACUUAA
rnacentral:rRNA from 1 species